CCUACGGGAGGCAGCAGUGAGGAAUAUUGGUCAAUGGACGAGAGUCUGAACCAGCCAAGUAGCGUGAAGGAUGACUGCCCUAUGGGUUGUAAACUUCUUUUAUAUGGGAAUAAAAUGUUCCACGUGUGGGAUUUUGUAUGUACCAUAUGAAUACGGAUCGGCUAACUCCGUGCCAGCAGCCGCGGUAAUACGGAGGAUCCGAGCGUUAUCCGGAUUUAUUGGGUUUAAAGGGAGCGUAGGUGGAUUGUUAAGUCAGUUGUGAAAGUUUGCGGCUCAAACGUAAAAUUGCAGUUGAAACUGGCAGUCUUGAGUACAGUAGAGGUGGGCGGAAUUCGUGGUGUAGCGGUGAAAUGCUUAGAUAUCACGAAGAACUCCGAUUGCGAAGGCAGUUCACUGGACUGCAACUGACACUGAGGCUCGAAAGUGUGGGUAUCAAACAGGAUUAGAUACCCUUGUAGUC
rnacentral:rRNA from 1 species